CACUCAGAAGGGUCAGCGUGUACAAACUAAGGUGCCCUGUCACUCAGAAGGGUCAGCGUGUACAAACCAAGGUGCCCUGUCACUCAGAAGGGUCAGCGUGUACAAACUAAGGUGCCCUGUCACUCAGAAGGGACAGCGUGUACAAACUAAGGUGCCCUGUCACUCAGAAGGGACAGCAUGUACAAACCAAGGUGCCCUGUCACUCAGAAGGGUCAGCGUGUACAAACCAAGGUGCCCUGUCACUCAGAAGGGUCAGCGUGUACAAACCAAGGUGCCCUGUCACUCAGAAGGGACAGCGUGUACAAACUAAGGUGCCCUGUCACUCAGAAGGGUCAGCGUGUACAAACCAAGGUGCCCUGUCACUCAGAAGGGUCAGCGUGUACAAACCAAGGUGCCCUGUCACUGUUUCAACUUUUCCCAGUGUCACUCUAUUUAAACAGCAAAGCUCUCUACUCAGAACAUUCAUCUAGGGGUUUCUGCGUGAGCUUUGGAACCAGGAAUUGUUUCUUUUAAGCUGUGCUGAGGUUGAUAAAUCAUCCGUUCCUGUAACGUGAAUUUCUAAUGACUGGAAUCCUGGUCUAGUUGCAUCAUUUCUCCUCCACCAAUCCAAGUUUCCUUUUUCCACACGGAUCAUGUGUCUACAGCCGAUAUCACUAAUUAGGCUACAGUCAGAUCCUUCCUGGCAUGAAAUAUUCAAAAUGACUUGUUUUAAUGACUCUCGUGAUGUUAUGUUUUCCC
ensembl:lncRNA